rnacentral:ncRNA from 2 species
UCCAAUCCAUACCAAGACGGUGCCUCCCGUUUCCGCAGGGAAAUCGGGAGGGUAAAAGGGAAACCGGUGCAAAUCCGGUACGAUCUCGUCACUGUGAUG